GUGAUUGUUUCGUUUGCAAAUAAAUACAGUUUCUGCGUGGCUUUUUUGCAGUUUCGUUUAUUUUGAAUGAUAAAAUAACGUUGUAUAUCAAAAAAUACUUCGUUCACAAUUUUUACGAAAGUAAUACACCUUGAGGUUAACUGUAUUCCAUCAUGUCAAAGUCUCCAGAAAAUUGGACUGUAGAAGGGAACUCUAAGUCAGGGUCAGAAGAGAAAUUUCGUAUAGAUGAAACAGAAUAUGAGGAGGAAUAUAAUAUGGAGGAAAAUGAUGAUGAUGACGUUAGGCCUCCUUCUAAACCCUCUAUAACCUCACAUGUCUCUGAUAGCCCUACAGGAAAUAAAAGUAAUUUUGGCACAGAAUACAGAAGGAAGAAAAGGCUAAAGAAGGAAUAUGAAUGGCAUCGGUUUACAUUUAACAAGGAGUUACGAAACUCAAGGAAGAAUGGUAGCCCAGAGUCAAAUGGCAGGAAAAAAGGUGUUCUUUAUGUAAAUAUUAUGAAUUUUCCAACACAUUGGGACACUGAAGAUGUGUAUGAGUUUAUUAAAAAGGAAUAUAAACCAGUGGAUUUCUUUAUAUCUGCCAAUAAGGAUAUGGAUUUUACGGGCAUGAUAAAGUUAGAAUUACUGGAUGCGUCAGAAUUUCCCAAUAUAUUCCAAUGUUUUCAUGACAAAAUACUUGACAACGAUUGCAAACUUUCUGUGAAUAUAUCAGUUUCUGACAAUGAGUCCGAUAAAAGUGAUACAGAGUCAUCAUUAUCAUCCCAAGCACCUAGAAGGAAGCGUCAACGUCGCGAGAAUGAAAAGCCAUGGAGACCAGAUAUCGAUGUGUGGGACACAGACCCCACAGGCACGUAUGGAUUGAAGCCUGAUUUCCUGAAACUAUUGGGGAUUACACCUCCAAUUGAUAAGUGGGUCCAUGUUUCGAAUUUCCGCUGUGACAAGACAGAGUUGAAAGAAGUUAUGGAGCUAGCUGGUCAAGUAUUGUAUUGUACUGUGGACACAAAAGGACCAAAAUUCGCUAAAGUUAUGUACUCGCAUCCGUUAGAAGCCGUACAGGCGGUCUCUAUGUUACACAAACAAAAUUUCUACGGGUCGGACCUUAAAGUUGAAAUUUCUGAGCCUCCCGUGGCACUCCUUCCAAAAGGGUUGAAGGGUGUAGGGCCGGGACUUGGCGUUGGAGGGAAACCUUUAAGGGACAUUGUAAAGCAAUACGAAAGAUUUGUUCAGUCUAAAAGUUCCUCAGUAAACUACACGCUAUUCCGCAGCCCUGAUGUGCUAUUUGAUCCUACGGUUAGUUUUGGCCAGGGAAAUAAUGAGGACGAUAAGUCAAGCGAUUAUGGCAACAAAAUGGUACCUGUUAGACCGUCUGAGUCAAAUCCCGCGCAUGGUCCACGUUCAAUGCAGUCUUUUGCCGCUUCCACGCCUGUUCAAAGUGCCCCUCGUAACGUGGCCAGCCAUAUAAAAGUCGAUCCGAGUAGGUCAAUGUCCCAUGUUUCGCGUCCAAUGGCUGGGUCCUUUUCUCUACCCAAUACACGUGGCUCUGGGCCCCUGGCUGGCCCCUCUGGUCCAAUGCAUAGCCAGCCUGGUCCAAUACAUGGUCAUAUUGGCUCAAUUCAAGGCGUACCUGGUCCAAUGCACGGUUCUGGCCCUAUACCCUGUCCUUCUGGCCCUAUGACUGGUCCCGCCGGUUCGAUGCCUGGACCCUAUGGCCCAAUGUCUGGUCCUCAAGGUCCAAUACCUGCUGGUCCAAUGGCUGGUCCUAUACCUGGUCCUUCAGGGCCAAUUUGUGGUCCAAUUGGUCCAAUUGGACCUGGUGGCCCAGGGUACAAUGCGCCUAUAAAUGGAUCCCCACAAUCUGGCGGGCCAUCUGAUGACGUUACCGUCGAGCUUAUCAAUCUACCGUUGAGUACGACGUUUCCUCUGCUAUGUGAGAAGAUGGCUCAGUGUGGUCAAGUGAUGUCCCUUCAACUGACGUCUCCGGGAUGCGCUGUAGUGCAGUUUGCGCAACGCGCACAAGCCCAACGAUGUUAUCAGCAAUACAACGGCUGUCGCGUUCUAGGUAACGUUAUAGAGGUGAAGUUCCUAUAAAGCGAAUUUGUGGUAAGACAUUGCAAAACUAUAACACGGCCAACUAAGAAAUGAUGUCAUAAGUUGGUGUCUGCAGGUAUCAGCACCACUGACUUAACCAAACUAGUUAGAUGCCUACUCAACGUGCGACCUGUUGGCAGAGUAGAUUGUCGAUGUGCAGAGGAAGGGCGCAGUACUUAAUAGGGUGAUGACAAUAAAAUUCAGCGGAAUCUCAAGCUCAGCAUCGCCAUUGUAUUUUCAUAAAAUACACGAUGAAGAUGAAAUGAAACGUGUCACAAAAUUGUAUCUUGAAUAAUAUCUGUAAAGGCAAAUUGUCACACUUAUAAUGUCCACGAAUUAAAUUAAAGCUUGAUUGAGUCCGAUCUGGAGGUCCGGGUUCGAUUCCCGAUGGGGACAUUGUCGAAAUCACUUUGUGAGACUGUCCUUUGUUUGGUAAGGACUUUUCAGGCUUGAAUCACCUGAUUGUCCGAAAAAGUAAGAUAAUUCCGUGCUUCGGAGGUCAGCGAUCUAACAACUAGACUUUAUUAUAGGCUGUAUUGAUUUUAUUAGCAUUUAUUUAUACCUGUAUAAUGUAUAUAAGAUUCUUAUUUUAUUUAUUUUAUUUUAUUUUAUUUUGUUUGGGGAGCUUACAUGUAAAGUAUCAUACUUAUUUCUAUGUAUAAUAAUAUUUUAUUUAUUUUUGUGUCUGUGUUUGUGCACCCAUCGCGUGAGGGUUUAGAUUUACAAUUGGACCAGGUCCCUGUUUCAUAAAACUUACAAUUGUAAAUUACAAUGACUAUUUAGUGUUCAUUACGUAGCUAAUAUGAAACUGCAAAAUAUUCGUGAUCACACACUCCGCAAUGUACUUCAAAUUGUCAUUGUAAGUUUUAUUUAACAGGCCCCAGGUAGGUGGCGCUGCGAUCGAGCAGAAUCUAUCGAGAUCCGCUAGUUUUAAUUCUCUCUCUCUCUCUCUCUCUAUUUAAGAGCUGCGCUCUUGUCGGUGGAGCAACCGGCUCCAUUUUCAUUACUCCAUAGAUAGGGCGUAUAGAACGGUGGUUGCCCCAAUCGCCUUCCGUUCCGCAGUACACCGACCAAUUUCUCAAUCGGUGAUGUUCUAGCCAGAGCCCUACCAGGAUUCAUUUCCUCGGCCUCCAAACAGUACUGAUACCGCUGCUGCCCGGCAUCAGGGGUGCGCUUUUGAAGUAGCGGCGCCUACUCGCUACGUCACAAGAUCGUCAUAGAACCUAAGUAGCAUUUUAUAGGUUAGUCCGUCCCAGUGAGCUACCCACUACGUUCUGCUAAUCCUGUCGCUGUUUGGUCGGGGGGUGUUUGGUGGUUGUUUGUUAGUUUUAAUUCAUAUACUAUAACUUAUUAUGCUUUAUUUUUUAUGUAUAAUUAGUUUUAAACGAAUAUUGUAUUAUUUUAAGGCUAUGAGUUGUUAGUAAGUACAAAGUUUUGUGUUUUUUGUAAUUAUGAAGUAAUGCAAAACAUGCGAUAUGUCUAGGCUACUCGUAAAACUAUACUUUUACAUACCUAAAUCUAAUUAAAAUAAAAAGAUAUUCUUGGUAGACUUGGAACCAGAGAAACCAACUCAAUUUCAUUUUAAUCUUUUUUCCUAUAGUACUUACUUUAAGUUUUAAAAUACAAUUGAUUUCACGAAUAUGUAUUAAUUAGUAAGUAGGUAAGUUAUAUAAUAUAAGGGUAGGUACAAUUAAAUAAACACUGAAAUAUUUUUAAUUUAAGAUUUUAAGUUAUAAUAUUAAGUAUCCAUAGGAUGGAGUCUUGAUGAGACUUCAGUGUGGGACUUUUGCGUGUUCAGUGUGGGACUCUCUAGAUCACCUUUUAUUAAGGAACUUGAUCUGGAAAUCCCUCAUUCUGCUUGGCUAUCAAAUGCAUAUGUUCACCGCUUGUUUAUUUUUUAAUGGUAAACCGAUUAGUAUAAAAAAAUGUAAGUAAGUAUUAAGAUUUAAUUUAUGGCCCUAGGAAUAAACUGCUUAGUUAUAAGGUAACUUAUCUAGUAGGUAGGUACCUAGGUAUCUUAUUAUUAUUAAUUUAUAAUUUAUCAAUAAACUACUUACUAGCAAUAAAUACCACGU
rnacentral:misc_RNA from 1 species